UGGGGAAUCUUCCGCAAUGGACGAAAGUCUGACGGAGCAACGCCGCGUGUAUGAUGAAGGUCUUCGGAUUGUAAAGUACUGUCAUUGGGGAAGAACGGUUUUCUUGAGAAUAUUGAGAAGACAUGACGGUACCCAAGGAGGAAGCCCCGGCUAACUACGUGCCAGCAGCCGCGGUAAUACGUAGGGGGCAAGCGUUGUCCGGAAUUAUUGGGCGUAAAGGGCGCGUAGGCGGGCCUUUAAGUCCGGUGUGAAAGAUCAGGGCUCAACCCUGAGAGUGCAUCGGAAACUGGAGGCCUUGAGGACAGGAGAGGAAAGUGGAAUUCCACGUGUAGCGGUGAAAUGCGUAGAUAUGUGGAGGGACACCAGUGGCGAAGGCGACUUUCUGGACUGUAACUGACGCUGAGGCGCGAAAGCGUGGGGAGCAAACAGGAUUAGAUACCCUGGUAGUCCACGCCGUAAACGAUGAGUGCUAGGUGUAGAGGGUAUCGACCCCUUCUGUGCCGCAGUUAACACAAUAAGUACUCCGUCUGGGAAGUACGAUCGCAAGAUUAAAACUCAAAGGAAUUGACGGGGUCAUAGCUGUUUUCCU
rnacentral:rRNA from 1 species